rnacentral:rRNA from 1 species
UUUUGGGCUAAUACCGGGAUAUGCCGAGAGGUGAAAGGCUUGCUGCCUGAAGAUGAGCUCGCGUCUGAUUAGCUAGUUGGUGUGGUAAGAGCGCACCAAGGCGACGAUCAGUAGCUGGUCUGAGAGGAUGAUCAGCCACACUGGGACUGAGACACGGCCCAGACUCCUACGGGAGGCAGCAGUGGGGAAUUUUCCGCAAUGGGCGAAAGCCUGACGGAGCAAUACCGCGUGAGGGAGGAAGGCUCUUGGGUUGUAAACCUCUUUUCUCAGGGAAGAAAAAAUGACGGUACCUGAGGAAUAAGCAUCGGCUAACUCCGUGCCAGCAGCCGCGGUAAUACGGAGGAUGCAAGCGUUAUCCGGAAUGAUUGGGCGUAAAGCGUCCGCAGGUGGCUGUGUAAGUCUGCUGUUAAAGAAUCUAGCUCAACUAGAUAAAAGCAGUGGAAACUACAUAGCUAGAGUGCGUUCGGGGUAGAGGGAAUUCCUGGUGUAGCGGUGAAAUGCGUAGAUAUCAGGAAGAACACCGGUGGCGAAAGCGCUCUACUAGGCCGCAACUGACACUGAGGGACGAAAGCUAGGGGAGCGAAUGGGAUUAGAUACCCCAGUAGUCCUAGCCGUAAACGAUGGAUACUAGGCGUGGCUUGUAUCGACCCGAGCCGUGCCGUAGCUAACGCGUUAAGUAUCCCGCCUGGGGAGUACGCACGCAAGUGUGAAACUCACAGGAAUUGACGGGGGCCCGCACAAGCGGUGGAGUAUGUGGUUUAAUUCGAUGCAACGCGAAGAACCUUACCAAGACUUGACAUGUCGCGAAUCCUGGUGAAAGCUGGGAGUGCCUUCGGGAGCGCGAACACAGGUGGUGCAUGGCUGUCGUCACCUCGUGUCGUGAGAUGUUGGGUUAAGUCCCGCAACGAGCGCAACCCUCGUUCUUAGUUGCCAGCAUUAAGUUGGGCACUCUAGAGAGACUGCCGGUGACAAACCGAAAGAAAGUGGGGAUGACGUCAAGUCAGCAUGCCCCUUACGUCUUGUGCUACAAACGUACUACAAUGCUACGGACAAAGGGCAGCUACCCAGCGAUGUGAUGCAAUCUCAGAAACGUAACUCAAUUCAAAUCGAGGCGGAGUGCCGCUGAGGGAGAUAUGAGAAAAAAAAAACAACACAAAAGAAAAAGAGAACAAAAAAA